UACGUAGGGGGCAAGCGUUUGUCCGGAAUCAUUGGGCGUAAAGAGCGCGUAGGCGGUCCGGUAAGUCCGCUCUGAAAGUCCGGGGCUCAACCCCGGGAGGCGGGCGGAUACUGUCGGGCUAGAGUCCGGAAGAGGCGAGUGGAAUUCCUGGUGUAGCGGUGAAAUGCGCAGAUAUCAGGAGGAACACCAAUGGCGAAGGCAGCUCGCUGGGACGGUACUGACGCUGAGGCGCGAAAGCGUGGGGGAGCGAACAGGG
rnacentral:rRNA from 1 species